CAAGGAAUCUUCCGCAAUGGGGGCAACCCUGACGGAGCAACGCCGCGUGGGGGAUGACGCCCUUCGGGGUGUAAACCCCUUUUCUGCGGGAAGAAGGUGGGGCAACCCACUUGACGGUACCGGAGGAAGAAGGACCGGCUAACUACGUGCCAGCAGCCGCGGUAAUACGUAGGGUCCGAGCGUUGUCCGGAGUUACUGGGCGUAAAGCGCGCGCAGGCGGCGGUGCUGGCCCGGCGUGAAAGCCCCCGGCUCAACCGGGGAGGGUCGUCGGGGACCGCACCGCUUGAGGGCGGUAGGGGCUGGUGGAAUGCCUGGUGUAGUGGUGAAAUGCGUAGAGAUCAGGCGGAACACCCGUGGCGAAGGCGGCCAGCUGGGCCGUCCCUGACGCUGAGGCGCGAAGGCGUGGGGAGCGAACGG
rnacentral:rRNA from 1 species